AUUGAACGCUGGCGGCAGGCCUAACACAUGCAAGUCGAGCGAGCGGCGGACGGGUGAGUAAUGUAUGGGAAACUGCCUGAUGGGGGGGGAUAACUGCUUGGAACGGUAGCAAAUACCGCAUACCAUCAGACGGUCCCAUAUGGGGAUGGCUAGGAGGUGGGGUAACGGCUCACCUAGGCGACGAUCCCUAGCUGGUCUGAAGGGAUGACCGGCCACACUGGAACUGAGCCACGGCCCAGACUCCUACGGGAGGCAGCAGUGGGGAAUAGUGCACAAUGGGCGCAAGCCUGAUGCAGCCAUGCCGCGUGUGUGAAGAAGGCCUUCGGUUUGUAAAGCACGUUCAGCGGGGAGGCGUUACCCGCAGAAGAAGCACCGGCUAACUCCGUGCCAGCAGCCGCGGUAAUAC
rnacentral:rRNA from 1 species